rnacentral:rRNA from 1 species
CGGGUAGGAGUAACACGUGGGUAACCUGCCCAUCAGAAGGGGAUAACACUUGGAAACAGGUGCUAAUACCGUAUAACAAUCGAAACCGCAUGGUUUCGGUUUGAAAGGCGCUUUUGCGUCACUGAUGGAUGGACCCGCGGUGCAUUAGCUAGUUGGUGAGGUAACGGCUCACCAAGGCAACGAUGCAUAGCCGACCUGAGAGGGUGAUCGGCCACAUUGGGACUGAGACACGGCCCAA